rnacentral:rRNA from 1 species
GGUAUGGGAUGAGCUUGCGUCCGAUUAGCUAGUUGGCGGGGCAACGGCCCACCAAGGCGACGAUCGGUAGCCGGCCUGAGAGGGUGAUCGGCCACAUUGGGACUGAGAUACGGCCCAGACUCCCACGGGAGGCAGCAGUAGGGAAUAUUGCACAAUGGGGGGAACCCUGAUGCAGCAACGCCACGUGUGGGAAGAAGCAUUUCGGUGUGUAAACCACUGUCAUGAGGGAAUAAGGCCCGCCUUCGGACGGGAUUGAAUGUACCUUGAGAGGAAGCACCGGCAAACUUCGUGCCAGCAGCCGCGGUAAUACGAGGGGUGCAAGCGUUGUUCGGAAUUACUGGGCGUAAAGGGAGCGUAGGCGGAGAUUCAAGCGGAUUGUACAAUCCCGGGGCCCAACCCCGGCUCUGCAGUCCGAACUGGAUCUCUUGGAUAGUUCAGGGGCAGGC